rnacentral:rRNA from 1 species
UACGUAGGCAGCGAGCGUUGUUCGGAGUUACUGGGCGUAAAGGGUGUGUAGGCGGCUUUUUAAGUUUGGUGUGGAAUCUCCCGGCUCAACUGGGAGGGUGCGCCGAAUACUGAAAGACUAGAGUACGGGAGAGGAAAGUGGAAUUCCUGGUGUAGCGGUGAAAUGCGUAGAUAUCAGGAGGAACACCGGUGGUGUAGACGGCUUUCUGGACCGUAACUGACGCUGAGACACGAAAGCGUGGGUAGCAAACAGG